rnacentral:rRNA from 1 species
UACGUAGGGUGCGAGCGUUGUCCGGAAUUACUGGGCGUAAAGAGCUCGUAGGUGGUUUGUCGCGUUGUUCGUGAAAACUCACAGCUCAACUGUGGGCGUGCGGGCGAUACUGGCAGACUGGAGUACUGCAGGGGAGACUGGAAUUCCUGGUGUAGCGGUGGAAUGCGCAGAUAUCAGGAGGAACACCGGUGGCGAAGGCGGGUCUCUGGGCAGUAACUGACGCUGAGGAGCGAAAGCGUGGGGAGCGAACAGG